AGAAGAUGAUCCUCUGCACAUUUUCACUGUGUUAAAUGACAUUUUCCAGAAAUGUUUAAUGUUUAUUCCAAGAAAACACUUGUCAUGCAAUAAUAUAUUGCAGUAAUUUGUUCUGUGAUUAAAAACAGGUUCUUCAUUUGAGUGCAAACAUGUACAACAUCACAGUGUCGUGUGCAGAGAUUUAUACUGCAGUGGGGUUUCAGUAUGUGAUUCUGCCUGUUUUACUGAAUCAAACUGAUAAUCCAGACUGCGAUCAGAGCUGGUAUGCACAGGAUGAUCGUCUGAUAGCAGAUCCAUCAGAUCCUCAGAAACGGAUUGAUCCUGUUAUUUCUGUCUCGUCUGAUCAUCUGAUUACGUCUCACUGUGUGGAUGAACUUCGUCAUGAGAUCAUCUGUCAUUCUGAUGGAUUAAAAUAUGAGACUAUGUUCAGAGUGAAUCCUGAUGAUUGUGAAUGUGUUUUUCAGUGUUUAAUGACACCGACUCCUUCAGCGGAUCGACUCAAACUCCAGAAUCACAUCAGUGAUGGUGGAUUUCUGCCCUGAUCUUCAUUGUUCUUCUGGCAUUUCUCUGUUUCUUGCUGCGUAAAAGGAUCUUCAGAUGUUUUCCGAGUGUCUUUCAGUGCAGUGAUUCAGAAAACAGGGAUCCUGAACCUGGUGUCCAAAUGAAGCUCAGAUCUGAUCAGUCUGAUUCACUGAAUCAAUCUGAAUCUGAGCAGAUCAACGGCUCCGUGUCCAGAGGAUGAUCUUCUUCGUCAUCAUUAUCAUCGUCACUGUUAUUUACUCAGACUCAGGCUCCUCGGGAGAUUGUUUGCUUCAUUCCGAGCUUCUUAACUCUUAUUCUAUUCUCGUUCAUCUGCAUCUGUCUGUUUUAUUACUAUACUUGUAUGCAAUUGCAAAUUUGGUUGUACACAAUAUAUUAUUUUUCUGAAUGCUGUGUUCUCUAUUUUUUUAAGUUCUUAAAUAUGUAUUAUAAUAUAUUGAUAAUAAAUUAGAUGAGACGGGCUGAAGUACUGCAUCAACCUGUUCUUUAAUGUGAUUCUCAAUUUCAGUUUAAUGCAGGAACAUAGUUUUAACUUCAGGUCAGAUUUAUAUCACAUCUCACGCGUUUCAGUCAAUGAAAGCCUGGGCCAGGACUUCAACUGCAAACGAGAUACUGGGACACCAAACUAAAGCGAAAGUACACAACAAACUAGGGAUUCAUUUAAAUGGCUAGCUC